GUAGGUGGCAAGCGUUGUCCGGAAUAUUGGGCGUAAAGCGCGCGCAGGGCGGUCCUUUAAGUCUGAUGUGAAAGCCCACGGCUCAACCGUGGAGGGUCAUUGGAAACUGGGGGACUUGAGUACAGAAGAGGAAAGCGGAAUUCCAAGUGUAGCGGUGAAAUGCGUAGAGAUUUGGAGGAACACCAGUGGCGAAGGCGGCUUUCUGGUCUGUAACUGACGCUGAGGCGCGAAAGCGUGGGGAGCAAACAGGAUUAGAUACCCUGGUAGUCCACGCCGUAAACGAUGAGUGCUAAGUGUUAGGGGGGUUUCCGCCCCUUAGUGCUGGAGCUAACGCAUUAAGCACUCCGCCUGGGGGAGUACGGCCGCAAAGGCUG
rnacentral:rRNA from 1 species